rnacentral:rRNA from 1 species
CCUACGGGAGGCAGCAGUGGGGAAUUUUGGACAAUGGACGCAAGUCUGAUCCAGCCAUGCCGCGUGCGGGAAGAAGGCCUUCGGGUUGUAAACCGCUUUUGUCAGGGAAGAAACGGGUUUCUCUAAUACAGAGACCUAAUGACGGUACCUGAAGAAUAAGCACCGGCUAACUACGUGCCAGCAGCCGCGGUAAUACGUAGGGUGCAAGCGUUAAUCGGAAUUACUGGGCGUAAAGCGUGCGCAGGCGGUUAUGCAAGACAGAGGUGAAAUCCCCGGGCUCAACCUGGGAACUGCCUUUGUGACUGCAUAGCUAGAGUACGGUAGAGGGGGAUGGAAUUCCGCGUGUAGCAGUGAAAUGCGUAGAUAUGCGGAGGAACACCGAUGGCGAAGGCAAUCCCCUGGACCUGUACUGACGCUCAUGCACGAAAGCGUGGGGAGCAAACAGGAUUAGAUACCCUGGUAGUCCACGCCCUAAACGAUGUCAACUGGUUGUUGGGAGGGUUUCUUCUCAGUACGAAGCUAACGCGUGAAGUUGACCGCCUGGGGAGUACGGCCGCAGGUUGAACUCAAUGAAUUGACGGNGUGNGAGNGCGAGGACGACGACGAGGGAGGAGG